rnacentral:rRNA from 1 species
UACAGAGGGGCAAGCGUUGUUCGGAAUUACUGGGCGUAAAGGGCGCGUAGGUGGCCUUCUAAGUUGAACGUGAAAUCCCUGGGCUCAACCCAGGAACUGCGUCCAAGACUGGGAGGCUUGAAUCCGGGAGAGGGAUGCGGAAUUCCAGGUGUAGCGGUGAAAUGCGUAGAUAUCGGGAGGAACAUCAGUGGCGAAGGCGGCUACCUGGCCCAAUACUGACACUCAGGUGCGACAGCGUGGGAGCAACAGG